GAGGAUGUAGCACAGCGGUAGGGCAAGUGCUUUGUAUGUAUGAAGUCCUCGGUUCAAAUCCCAGCAUCCCCA
rnacentral:tRNA from 1 species